GCACAAGCGGUGGAGCAUGUGGUUUAAUUCGAUGCAACGCGAAGAACCUUACCUGGUCUUGACAUCCACAGAACUUUCCAGAGAUGGAUUGGUGCCUUCGGGAACUGUGAGACAGGUGCUGCAUGGCUGUCGUCAGCUCGUGUUGUGAAAUGUUGGGUUAAGUCCCGCAACGAGCGCAACCCUUAUCCUUUGUUGCCAGCGGUCCGGCCGGGAACUCAAAGGAGACUGCCAGUGAUAAACUGGAGGAAGGUGGGAUGACGUCAAGUCAUCAUGGCCCUUACGACCAGGGCUACACACGUGCUACAAUGGCGCAUACAAAGAGAAGCGACCUCGCGAGAGCAAGCGGACCUCAUAAAGUGCGUCGUAGUCCGGAUUGGAGUCUGCAACUCGACUCCAUGAAGUCGGAAUCGCUAGUAAUCGUGGAUCAGAAUGCCACGGUGAAUACGUUCCCGGGCCUU
rnacentral:rRNA from 1 species